AUUGAACGCUGGCGGCAUGCCUUACACAUGCAAGUCGAACGGCAGCGGACCUUCGGGUGCCGGCGAGUGGCGAACGGGUGAGUAAUAUAUCGGAACGUACCUUUCAGUGGGGGAUAACGUAGCGAAAGUUACGCUAAUACCGCAUAUUCUGUGAGCAGGAAAGCAGGGGAUCGCAAGACCUUGCGCUGAUUGAGCGGCCGAUAUCAGAUUAGCUAGUUGGUGAGGUAAAGGCUCACCAAGGCGACGGUCUGUAGCGGGUCUGAGAGGAUGAUCCGCCACACUGGGACUGAGACACGGCCCAGACUCCUACGGGAGGCAGCAGUGGGGAAUAUUGGACAAUGGGCGCAAGCCUGAUCCAGCAAUGCCGCGUGAGUGAUGAAGGCCUUAGGGUUGUAAAGCUCUUUUACCAGGGAUGAUAAUGACAGUACCUGGAGAAUAAGACUCCGGCUAACUCCGUGCCAGCAGCCGCGGUAA
rnacentral:rRNA from 1 species